rnacentral:rRNA from 1 species
UGAGGAAUAUUGCUCAAUGGCCGAAAGGCUGAAGCAGCAACGCCGCGUGAGGGAUGAAGGUUCUAUGAAUUGUAAACCUCUGUAGAAGAAGAGAAAGCUUCGAUUUCUAUCGAAGUAGAUAGUAUUUUUAGAGUAAGCCCCGGCUAACUACGUGCCAGCAGCCGCGGUAAUACGUAGGGGGCAAGCGUUGUCCGGAAUCACUGGGUGUAAAGGGUGCUCAGGCGGGUGAAUAAGUCAGUGGUGAAAUUCUGCAGCUUAACUGCAGACCUGCCAUUGAAACUAUUUGUCUAGAGUUCGGUAGAGGAUGAUGGAAUUCAUGGUGUAGCGGUGAAAUGCGUAGAUAUCAUGAAGAACACCAGUUGCGAAGGCGGUCAUCUGGGCCGAUACUGACGCUCAAGCACGAAAGCGUGGGGAGCAAACAGG